AUAUUAUUUACAAUAACAAAAAUAAUUACUUAAUUUAAAAUAAUCGAUAAAAUACAAAGCUGUGUUUACGAUAACGGUUGUGUAUUCUGGAUUUUAGAAAAAGAUUUUCUAAUAAUAAAAAACUUAUUAAUAAUAUAAUCUACAUUAUUAGCGGCUGCAAUACUCCAUCAAAGAAACCCAAAAGCAAGAGAACUAAUUUUUUCAAUUGAAACACAAAGUAAUUAGGCGGCAAUCCCCAAUAUACUACCCAAAAGAAAAAGCAAACUCCAAAAAAAGAAAAGAAAAAAAAAACUAAGAGCAAACUGAAGGCGAGAUUGAAACCCCACAAAAGCAAAGCAUCGUCGCGCCUUAACCACCGCCUUCCACCUAUCUCCUCAAUUUACUGCCGACGCCUUUCCCACCGCCUCUAGGCUUCCGGUGAAUGUCGUGUGUCCCGUCGCUUCCGUCAAUUCCGAGGGAAUACCACCGCCGCCAUAAGGUAUACGAGAGGCACUCUAAGACGUUGUUGUUAUUAUUGUUGCUUGGAAGGAUUCGUCGUUCUGCCAGAAGUGUAGCAGUAUAUACUGCAAUCCCUUAGGUUUCGGUCCCUUGAAGAGCUUGACGAGGUUAAGAGAAGCUGCAGAAAACCGUUGGAUGGACAUAAUUGACGUAGGAGGAAGAGACAGCCUGAAGCAUUUUACAUGCCUAGUUUUGCUGCUGGCUUUUUGUCAUAUCAUACAGCAGAUGGAAUGCUCCAUCAGUUUUGCUGCCCACAAACUCAAACUGUAAAUUGGCCUACAAUGUCACAGCCUCCUGAUCUGUACUUCAGAAUUAAUCAAGAAACAAUUUAUGAGCCACUUCUAAAUGGGAUUUCCGUUGGUCAAACCGUAAGCAGGACACUGAUAGUUUCAGCUGACGACUCGGGAUUUGCUCUCUCUCUUCUGUCAAAGUAUUCAUCAGAUAUCUGUGUGGAACCUGCUAUGCAACCAACACCUAUAAGUUCAUCAACAGGUCAAGGUCAAGGUAUUGCUGUUGAUGAAAAAUCUUUCGGUCCAUUUGCUAAGCCCUGAAUUUAAGGAAUAUGUGGAUGAAGAUGCUACCGUUGGACUGGAAGCCUUUUCUCGAAUACCACAUGUUGUGCCGGUAAUUGCAAAUGCGGGGUUUUCCCGAGUUUAUCCUUGUGAUUUAAACGUUAUCUUAGCGCAGUUUCAAAGAGGAAAAGUAAUCAAGAGCUUGUGUAUGAAAUUACAAGAUACAACUGAAUUUACCGUAUCAGAUGCUAUCCGUGAACUUAAAAGUACUCCAGGAUUUGAUAGCAGAGGAUGCUAAUAGUAUUCAAGUGGUCAUUGAUGGUCUCCGUCAAAAGCACUCGGAGCAUGCUAAUAAAAUCCAGAGUUAUAUACAAAACCAGUCAGUUGAUGAAACCGAGAUUAAAUAUUUGCAGUUCUGAACUUGCAGGAAGGGGUAAGAGUGCUUCAAUUGUUUUUAAAAGAGGUGAUCGUGUAGGCGAAUUAACUACCUAACACCUGUUAACUGGAAUCUGUAAAGCUGAAGCUUCGGUUGUAAUGAAGGUGUCCAACUAAGAGGGUGAAGGAGGCACGUGAGAGGAUGAAAUUGCUGAUUGUUUUUAAUAUUUAUAAAUAAAACCUGUUUUUAGUUAUAAUUGAGUAAGUUUCAGGCUGUAACCUAAUUUAGUUGGUUCUGUGGCAUGCGUAACUGGAAUUUUUAUUCAUGGGUAUAGUAGCUCUCUGAAUCCUGCAAUCCUACAUAAUUAUGAUCAAGUCAUGUUAGUAUUGUAUCUAACUAACUGAAUGGUUUCAGGCUGGCCUGUCUAAGAAGUCUGGAGGUUGUGUUUUUGCGCUUCAAGAUGAACAGCUGCAGGCCACCCAACAGUGCACGCAAAGCACCAGAACCACAAUCUUGAUGGUCGUUCAAUCCAUGAACAUGAAGCAGCUAAUACAUGAGAGCUCGCCCCUUCUCCUGUGAGUGAGCAAACUAGCAGCCGGUGGAAGGCCCCGCUAACUACUCCACACAAGCUGAACACAGACGAUGCUACAUCGGUGAGAAUGACAUGGUUGGGUAUGGUGGUCUGAGACAAUGUAGGUGACGUGCUAAUGGCUGCAGGCAUGAGGAUUGAUGCUGCUCUACCAGCUCUUCAAGCUGAAGCCGAAGCAGUACGGUUUGGCAUGAGUAUGCUUAUGAAGCAGGCUACCGCUCCGUUGAGGUUGAAACUGAUUCCCUUGCGUUACUGAAGCUGCUGCAGAGGGACAACAGUGAGAGAUCGUCUGUCCAAGUUCUUGUUGAUGGUAUUCUCAGCUAUGUUCAGAAGUUUAUGCGUUGUAGGUUUCUUUUGCCGGUAGAAUUUGUAAUAAGGUUGCCGAUUGCAUGGCCAAAUCAGCUCUUUCUUUCGAAGAGAUUAAGAUUUGUAUGGAAGAAAGCCCCACUUUUGCUACCCCUUAAUUCUGAUGGACAAGGAGGGAUUGAUUGAUAUAUAUACUCUAUUUUCUCGUCCAAGUAUAUAUAUUUCCAUUUUCUCGUCCAA